GAUGAACGCUAGCGGCAGGCCUAAUACAUGCAAGUCAAGGGGCCAGUAAUGGCACCGGCGGACGGGUGCGUAACGCGUACACAACGUACCUUUGGGUGGGGGAUAGCACCGGGAAACUGGUGGUAAUACCCCAUGGUAUUGGAGACUGGCAUCAGUUUUCAAUUAAAGACUACGCCCAAAGAUCGGUGUGCGUCUGAUUAGCUAGUUGGUAGGGUAACGGCCUACCAAGGCGACGAUCAGUAGGGGAUGUGAGAGCAUGAUCCCCCACACGGGUACUGAGACACGGACCCGACUCCUACGGGAGGCAGCAGUAAGGAAUAUUGGACAAUGGUCGGAAGACUGAUCCAGCCAUGCCGCGUGAAGGAUGAAGGCGCUCAGCGUUGUAAACUUCUUUUGUUACGGGAACAAAAAUGCGACCUGCGGGUUGGUACUGAGGGUACCGGUAAGAAUAAGCACCGGCUAACUCCGUGCCAGCAGCCGCGG
rnacentral:rRNA from 1 species